rnacentral:rRNA from 1 species
GGCGAACGGGUGAGUAAUAUAUCGGAACGUACCCUGGAGUGGGGGAUAACGUAGCGAAAGUUACGCUAAUACCGCAUACGAUCUAAGGAUGAAAGUGGGGGCUUCGCAAGAACCUCAUGCUCCUGGAGCGGCCGAUAUCUGAUUAGCUAGUUGGUGGGGUAAAGGCCUACCAAGGCAUCGAUCAGUAGCUGGUCUGAGAGGACGACCAGCCACACUGGAACUGAGACACGGUCCAGACUCCUACGGGAGGCAGCAGUGGGGAAUUUUGGACAAUGGGCGAAAGCCUGAUCCAGCAAUGCCGCGUGAGUGAAGAAGGCCUUCGGGUUGUAAAGCUCUUUUGUCAGGGAAGAAACGGUGAGGGCUAAUAUCCCUUGCUAAUGACGGUACCUGAAGAAUAAGCACCGGCUAACUACGUGCCAGCAGCCGCGGUAAUACGUAGGGUGCAAGCGUUAAUCGGAAUUACUGGGCGUAAAGCGUGCGCAGGCGGUUUUGUAAGUCUGUCGUGAAAUCCCCGGGCUCAACCUGGGAAUUGCGAUGGAGACUGCAAGGCUAGAAUCUGGCAGAGGGGGGUAGAAUUCCACGUGUAGCAGU